rnacentral:rRNA from 1 species
AACGAACGCUGGCGGCAGGCCUAACACAUGCAAGUCGAACGCCCAGCAAUGGGAGUGGCAGACGGGUGAGUAACACGUGGGAAUCUUCCUCGUAGUACGGAACAACUCAGGGAAACUUGAGCUAAUACCGUAUACGCCCUUCGGGGGAAAGAUUUAUCGCUAUGAGAUGAGCCCGCGUCCGAUUAGCUAGUUGGUGAGGUAAUGGCUCACCAAGGCUACGAUCGGUAGCUGGUCUGAGAGGAUGAUCAGCCACAUUGGGACUGAGACACGGCCCAAACUCCUACGGGAGGCAGCAGUGGGGAAUAUUGGACAAUGGGCGCAAGCCUGAUCCAGCCAUGCCGCGUGAGUGACGAAGGCCUUAGGGUUGUAAAGCUCUUUUGGCGGGGAAGAUAAUGACGGUACCCGCAGAAUAAGCUCCGGCUAACUUCGUG